CCUCCGCAAGCUCUCUGGUCCCCAGGCUGGGCUGGGCGAGUACCUCUUCGAAAGGCUCACAUGCAGGCAUGACUAGGAGC
rnacentral:pre_miRNA from 1 species